rnacentral:rRNA from 1 species
UACGGGGGGGGCAAGCGUUGUUCGGAAUUACUGGGCGUAAAGGGCUCGUAGGCGGCCAACUAAGUCGGACGUGAAAUCCCUCAGCUUAACUGGGGAACUGCGUCCGAUACUGGAUGGCUUGGAUUUGGGAGAGGGAUGCGGAAUUCCAGGUGUAGCGGUGAAAUGCGUAGAUAUCUGGAGGAACACCAGCGGCGAAGGCGGCCAUCUGGACGGUGACUGACGCUCAGACGCGAAAGCGCGGGGAGCAAACAGG